UACAGCCAAAUCACGUUGAAACACCGGUUCACGUACGAUCACUGAAGUUAAGCAACGUCGAGCCUGGUCAGUACCUAAAUGGGUGAUCGUUUGGGGAUACA